UACGGAGGGUGCAAGCGUUGUCCGGAUUUAUUGGGUUUAAAGGGUGCGUAGGCGGCUGAUUAAGUCUGGGGUGAAAGCCCGUUGCUCAACAACGGAACUGCCCUGGAAACUGGUUAGCUUGAGUACAGACGAGGGUGGCGGAAUGGAUGCUGUAGCGGUGAAAUGCAUAGAUAGCAUCCAGAACCCCCGAUUGCGAAGGCAGACUGC
rnacentral:rRNA from 1 species